AGCGUUUCUUUUUCCCAUCCGUCUUCUAUAAAGUGUUUCAGUGAGUUAGAAUAACAAUUAGGAGACGCACACUCAGAGCGGAGCGAGGCGAGCAUCAUUGAUCGUCUUAAAGGGCGAAAUAAUGGAGAGAAAGAUGCAGCUGGAGCUUUCAGACCGAGCCGACAUCAUCACAACAUCGAGACGGGAGAGGAGGUGAAGCUGCAGAGGACCCCGCCCCGACGUGACGGGGGUCUUUGAACCCAUCAGCUGUGAUCUGAAGGUUCUCAGGGGAAGAACGCCAACUUCUCAGAUGGAGCGAUGAACGGCUCUAAGAGAACUCCUUCUUAGUUUAUAUUGUUUAUUUUUCAACAUCAGGAGAGUGGAGCUAAAUUCACCUCCUUUAGAAACGUCUGUGGGUUAAAUGUUGACUUUAUUCAUGUCCAGGAGCAGAGCCCGGGUUCGAGAUCAAGACUCGAGUUCAAAAUGAGAAAAGAAACUGAAGGAGGAGGAGGUCACAGAGCCGCUGAGAGAAUCAGGGUGGGUCAGGGUUUAUGUAGGGGUGCCCCGGCCCCUGGGACCCCUAGGACAGUGGUUCUCAACUGGUCUCACUCUGGGACCCACAUUUUUCCACGGUCCUUAAAUCACGACCCACUUUUAUAGAAUUCAAACCAAGAAAAUUCAGAGCACAUGAAGGGG